CACGUCUCUUUUAUCGGCCUGCCCGUCCGUGAUGAUGAUGGCCACCUUCCUCACACCUGCCCGCGCCGCCUUGAACACCUGAUUGGCCUGUUGGAUUGCGCUGCCUGUGAACGUACCCUCGCCCAGACCUUGUCCAGGAGGACCUCUGGGGCCGGGGAUCCCCUGAAAUCCUGAUUCGCCCUGGAAACAUAGAGCACAGUCCAUGUCGAGGAGAACUUAUACAACAAGAUGGAGCUAAAAUCUGCAACUGACAGGACCUUUUGUCCUUGGAUGCCCUCUCCGGGUAACCCCUGUGGACCAGGUGGUCCGAUUCGGCCAGCUGAGCCCUGCAGGAAAAGAAAACUUUGUGUGUCUUUCUGAAUACCGACAUGACUUUAAAGGCAUUCACUGGCAAUAUAUUUAAAAUAAAAAAAUUAAAAAUCA